rnacentral:rRNA from 1 species
GACGUAGGGCGCGAGCGUUGUCCGGAUUUAUUGGGCGUAAAGAGCUCGUAGGCGGUUCGUCACGUCGGGAGUGAAAACUCGGAGCUUAACUCCGAGCCUGCUUCCGAUACGGGCAGACUAGAGGUAGGCAGGGGAGAGCGGAACUCCUGGUGUAGCGGUGGAAUGCGCAGAUAUCAGGAAGAACACCGGUGGCGAAGGCGGGUCUCUGGGGCAACAACUGACGCUGAGGAGCGAAAGCCGUGGGGAGCGAACAGG